rnacentral:SRP_RNA from 1 species
GGAAGGUCGGCGGCGGACGGGCUCCUCGCCAACCCGGUCAGGUCCGGAAGGAAGCAGCCGUAACGGGUUCUCGCCCGGGUCGCUUGUCGGCCUUCCACC